CUUUGCUUGAUGUUGCUUCCGUUUGUUCGGCACUCAUAUUCGUGUUAGUCUUUCAUUACACAAAAGCUUAUCGUGGCGCUUUACCCAUCCAUCGUGUCUUUGGGUCCUUUUUCGCUCAAUGCUUUCAAUUAUUAACGCCCAAUUUUCGGCGUAGUGCUGCACACCUACACAGUCCCUCGACUCUAACUGCGCUCUCUUGCCACUAUCUUGCUCUCUUUCUCUCUCUCUCUUUCCCACACCCUCGCUUAUUUUAAGCGUAAUCUUUCUCUCUUUUACGCUCCCUCGCUGGCUCUGUUCCAUUACUGUUUUGACGUUUGCAUUUCAUUUGUUAACUUUUUUGUGUAAGUGUGUGUGUGUGUGCAUCUCUCUGUUUAAUACGUCUUGAAGUUGGCUGCACUUCUUUUAUUACACGUAUUGUUAGCUAUUCCACUUUGCGUUCCAUUUUAAUAACACGCACUCUUUGUCUUUUACUUUCUUCCUUUUGUGCUUGAAUUUCGCAAAAUCUACGAAAAAUUUCUCUACUACACUGACAUCCGUUACUUGCUUUCCUCGCCGUUUUAUUGAGCUUGUGGAAGUCCAGCUAAACAUUUACCUCUACAUGUGUUCGUGGGUGUGUGUGAGUGCUUUUGCCUUUGUUCACAUGUAUUUUCGUAUGUACACAUGCAUGUUUGUAUGUAUAUGUAUUGUAGGCAUAUUUACAUCUGUGGAAAAAAUCAGCUCAGCUUCUGGCAGCCGCGGCGUCAGCAGCAGCAUUACUAAUUGAAGGAAAAUAUUUAUCUAAGUUAAACUGAAGGCCACUAACGUAAAGUAGGAAUAGGCACACACACACGCGAGCACAUGCAAACAUAUGUCAAUGCAUACAUGCUGGUCAAAGCGCAGCGCUCAUUAGCUUAGCAGCGCAUAGUAGUGGUGCUCACAACAUCUCCGCACACAUUGUUAUUGAUAUAGUACUUUAAAUUUAACGAGAAUACUUAGCACGACAUAGAACAAUGCAUAUAAAAGUGAAGCCUAUUGCUGUUUUGAAGGUGGACUUGUACCUCCUGGCGUGUAUUUUUGCUGUUUGAAUACAAAUAACGUGGGAGUAUAAAAAUCCAGCUCAGCCGCGGAGAAUUUAUUAGUAAACAUUCUAAGCUCAAAGCGAAAGUACAAAAAAUCAAACAGCCACAAUGAAAUUCUUGAUUGUAUUCGUGCUUGCCGCCUGCUUCUUGUGCUUGGCUUAUGCUCAAAACAUCGAUGCCAUCAAAGAACAGAUUAUUGCUCAAUAUGAACGCUUGCCCGGUCAAUCCAUCCGCUAUCCUGAGGAGCAGGCUCACGUGAUCAACGAUCCCGCACACAUCAAUGUUAACUUCUAAGCACUUGUUAUCUUGUUUUACUGUCGACAAAGUUUUACUCUUACCCCCCUUGUGAAUAAUCAAAUGCCAUGCAUUUUUACUGUAGUUUUGUUUUUAAAUAAAUAUUAAGUUUUGAAUGUGAAAUACCUGCCA